rnacentral:rRNA from 1 species
UACGGAGGGUGCAAGCGUUAUCCAGAUUCACUGGGUUUAAAGGGUGCGUAGGCGGGCAGGUAAGUCCGUGGUGAAAUCUCUGAGCUUAACUCAGAAACUGCCAUGGAUACUAUUUGUCUUGAAUGUUGUGGAGGUAAGCGGAAUAUGUCACGUAGCGGUGAAAUGCUUAGAUAUGACAUAGAACACCAAUUGCGAAGGCAGCUUACUACACAAAUAUUGACGCUGAGGCACGAAAGCGUGGGGAUCAAACAGG